UAGGGAAUCUUCGGCAAUGGACGAAAGUCUGACCGAGCAACGCCGCGCGAGUGAAGAAGGUUUUCGGAUCGUAAAACUCUGUUGUUAGAGAAGAACAAGGACGUUAGUAACUGAACGUCCCCUGACGGUAUCUAACCAGAAAGCCACGGCUAACUACGUGCCAGCAGCCGCGGUAAUACGUAGGUGGCAAGCGUUGUCUGGAUCUAUUGGGCGUAAAGCGAGCGCAGGCGGUUUCUUAAGUCUGAUGUGAAAGCCCCCGGCUCAACCGGGGAGGGUCAUUGGAAACUGGGAGACUUGGGUGCAGAAGAGGAGAGUGGAAUUCCAUGUGUAGCGGUGAAAUGCGUAGAUAUAUGGAGGAACACCAGUGGCGAAGGCGGCUCUCUGGUCUGUAACUGAAGCUGAGGCUCGAAAGCGUGGGGAGCAAACAGG
rnacentral:rRNA from 1 species